UUUUUGUAGCGCUUGCUCGGAAAAAAAGAUACUUUUCUAGCGCCAUCUGUUGGAUGUUGGAGAGAAGGUAUUGCGUUGCCACUAGAGUUGAUAAGAGACUAGUAGAUAUCGGUAGGAUAGCCGCGAGAGAGCAACAGUGGCAAGUGUCAACUGUCUCCGCUUUCACCCUGAAUUCGAUCUGGGGUUACCGCCACUUUUCCGGCGGCGUGUUCUUUCUUUUCCGUUUGGCAGCAGCAGAGUGAAGUCGAGAGUUCGCAGUGACUAAAUUAAAAUUCGAAAGUACACGCGAGUGAUCUCACUUUAGUGCCGAAGGGAAGGAGUUAAACAAUUUGGCUUUGAGCCGCAUAAAAAGGGCCACCGUUGGAUUGAUGUUCGAAGGCCGCAAAGUAAAAUAAAGGCGAGUUCGAUCGAGACGAACGGGCGCCCGCGCAGUUCACAUAACGAGCGAGCAACCUCCACGCCAGAUAUUCAACUCGGAACAACAGCGCACAAGGAAGGGCGAAACGAAGUGUCUAUUCAUAUUUCCAUCUUUAAUCAUCCCCAUUAUCCGGUGUGUCAGCCCCAAAUUUCAUAAGCCAGAAAAGUGAGCUAGGCGCCGUCUGACCAUCGAGCCGUUUAAUCGAGGCGAACUAAACACAGGUUCGAUCGAACCGAUUUAUCAGUUUCUCUUUGCUCGGAGUGCGCAUGCGACGUCGCGGCUACGGUCUGUGCUUUUAAAAGUAAUUCUCGGGGAGUUAGAAAGACCAUACUUAGGCCAAGAAAAUCCUCGCCGUUUCGGCCAAAUCCCGGUCGGAAGGGUUAUCGGAGUACUCGCCACGGAUAAGCGGGAAGUUUAGGUUUAAAAUUCGGUUUAAGUUAUGUAAUAAGUGUUCGUUCGUCAAAAGUAGAGGAAAAAAUUUGAUUUUAUUUUGUUCGGUGAAAGUGUGGUUUGGGGAUAAAUUCCUAUUCAUAUCCCAGAGAAGGUAGUGCUGAUGCCAUCAGAAGGUCUUCACGGGCUGUACAUUCCGCUUUUUAUUUAAUUCCUGAUUUAAAAAAUAUAUAUGUCUCUGUGAGUGUGUUUCCCUUAUUCAACCUUAUUUAGCCAUCGUCAACGAGGAAAGCGCUUUCGUCGGUGGAUGGACAUAAGUGUG